rnacentral:misc_RNA from 1 species
UGAACAGUGUGGGGAUGUUACCCGAGUCUGAGUCACAGGAGGGUGCCGAGGGUGGACUGGAGAUGGAAGUAGAGACUGGUGAGGUUGACGCUCUGGUUAGCGAUCUGUUCACAUGUGCAGAGGAGCGGCCGAGUCUGGUGAAGCCUCCAAUCAAGGUCGACGUCAGCAUCAACGGUCAGUCGGUGCAGAUGGAGCUGGACACCGGCGCCGCCGUCUCCGUCUGCACGUACCGCCGCUUCAAGGAGCUCUGGCCGGACGGAGACAGGCUGCUGCAGCCGAGCAGCCGUCUGCUUCGCACGUUCUCCGGUGAGAAGCUCUCAGUCCGAGGUGAGGCGUGGGUGAACGUGCUGUAUCAGGGUGUCAGUCAUCGAUUGCCAUUGACUGUGGUGGAGAGUAACGGUCCGAUGUUACUAGGCCGUAACUGGUUGGGAGAGAUCAAGUUGGACUGGCACAAUAUUUUUGCGAUGACUCUGAGUCCAGCCAUGGGAACACUGCUCGAAAAAUACUCCGAGCUAUUCAAGGACGAUCUGGGCUGUGCGAGGGAUGUAGAGCUCAACAUUCCAGUGGAUCCAGCCGUGAAGCCCAUCUUCUACAAGCCUCGGACGGUGCCACUCGCCUACCGGGAGAAGGUGGACGCCGAGUUGGAGCGGCAGAUCAAGGAAGGUUUGUUGGUGCCGGUCAAGUGGAACGACUGGGCGACGCCCAUCGUGACCUGCCAGAAGGCCUCAGGUGAGAUCAGAAUCGCAGCAGACUAUCGUCUCACAGUAAACAAGGUCACGCCGUUAGAAAAGUAUCCUCUGCCAAAAGUAGACGAGAUGUUCAGUAAACUGCAAGGUGCGACAGUGUACAGUCAGAUAGAUUUGAAAAAUGCGUACAACCAUCUGCCAUUAGAGGAGAAGAGUCGCAAAUAUUUGGCCAUAAACACACACAAGGGCUUGUUGGUGCCAACCAGACUGGGAUACGGGUACGCGAGUGCUCCGGCCAUCUUUCAACGUUAUAUGGAAACUCUCUUGGCUGGAAUACCAGGGGUGGGAGUGUUCCUGGAUGAUGUCAUGAUCGCUGGAAAAACCCCACAGGACCACCAGAACUCGCUGGAGAUGGUGCUACAGCGGCUGGUGGCGGCCAACCUGCGCCUGCAAAAGAAGAAGUGCAAGUUUGGAGUGUCAUCUAUCACCUACCUGGGACACCGCAUCAGCGCGGACGGCGUGAGUCCGACCGACGACAAGCUGCUGGAGACUUGCCAGAGCCCGGCGAGACUCUGCACCUGGUGGAGAUGAUGGACGCUUCGCCAGUGACCGCCGCUGUGGUUAGACUGGCGACUGAACGUGACGCCACCCUCAGCAGAGUGCUGCAGUACACCCGAGACGGCUGGCCUGAGGACAGGAGCGGCGAGUCACCGGAGUUAAGUGCAUAUCGCACGAAGCAAGGUGUCGGGACUGGCCGGCGUCGGCAGGACAACACGCUGGCUACCCGGACACUGCAUCAACAUCUCGGGACUCAAGCUCACGGUCCGGCUGGACGACGGACGAGUCCUCCAGCGCCAUCUGGACCAGGUGGUCCCGAGAGCGGUCGCCGGGAACCAGGCCGUCCGACAGCCGACGGACUGGACGGCGGCGCCGCGGCCUCCUCAAACGCCGCCGACGUCGCUGCCGACAACUCCAACGUCGCAGGCGACGCCUUCACCGCCGACGCCCUCACCGCCGACGCCUUCACCGCCGACUCCCACGCCGCUUCCGCCACCGCCAGCGGAAUGUCCGGAACGGGAGAGGCCUUCGUCUCCCUCCCCAGUUAGGCGGCCGGCUCGUGGGUUGGAGGGACGGGGUGAGCUCAACUCGCGAUUGAAGUGUGACGUCCAAUUGUCGCGAGGCGAGAGUGUUGAGUGUCGUGAGCCUGUGUCAGCGCCGCAGGUACCGCGCUAUAACCUGAGACCGAGAAAAUAGUUGUUAACUAGGGGGGAGGAAUGUGGUAGAUUGUCACACAGCCUCUUGGCUGGCGUGCCUGGGUGCGCCACUGGCCGCCCUAUCCGUCGUCCCUGAGAGCGGGCUUGCGCUCGCUUGACCUAUAGCCGGGGGCGCUCAGCUGUGCGGUGUGGGUUGAGUCUGGUCAGCUGAUCGAGUGGGAAUACAGUUCUGACCGGUGAU